GGCGAACGCUGGCGGCGUGCCUAAUACAUGCAAGUAGAACGCACAGUUUAUACCGUAGCUUGCUACACCAUAGACUGUGAGUUGCGAACGGGUGAGUAACGCGUAGGUAACCUGCCUGGUAGCGGGGGAUAACUAUUGGAAACGAUAGCUAAUACCGCAUAAUAUUAAUUAUUGCAUGAUAAUUAAUUGAAAGGUGCAAUUGCACCACUACCAGAUGGACCUGCGUUGUAUUAGCUAGUAGGUGAGGUAACGGCUCACCUAGGCGACGAUACAUAGCCGACCUGAGAGGGUGAUCGGCCACACUGGGACUGAGACACGGCCCAGACUCCUACGGGAGGCAGCAGUAGGGAAUCUUCGGCAAUGGACGAAAGUCUGACCGAGCAACGCCGCGUGAGUGAAGAAGGGUUUCGGAUCGUAAAGCUCUGUUGUAAGAGAAGAACGGGUGUGAGAGUGGAAAGUUCACACUGUGACGGUAUCUUACCAGAAAGGGACGGCUAACUACGUG
rnacentral:rRNA from 1 species